AGUUAGUGAGCUAGAGUUCUUGUUGAUAUCAGUAGAAGUAUUGCUGAGCUGCUAGCCCUAGAGUACGGAUGAGCAGCGGGAACUCGUGAUCCUCAGGAUAAUCUCAAGCAAAGGGUACAUGCAGAGAUAGAAGCAAAAGCAUUGGAGCUGAGAGAAGCAAGAUGAGCAGCUGGUAUGAGAACUAUACAUAGUAUUAGGAGA
rnacentral:misc_RNA from 1 species